rnacentral:tRNA from 3 species
GGCGGGGUAGCUCAGUCGGUAGAGCAGUGGAAUCAUAAUCCAUGGGUCGGGGGUUCGAGUCCCUCCCCCGCUACCA